rnacentral:rRNA from 1 species
UACGGAGGGCGCAAGCGUUGUUCGGAAUCACUGGGCGUAAAGCGCGUGUAGGCGGCUCUGCAAGUCGGGUGUGAAAUCCCGAGGCUCAACCUCGGAACUGCACUCGAUACUGCUUGGCUCGAGUCCCGGAGAGGGUGGCGGAAUUCCCGGUGUAGGGGUGAAAUCCGUAGAUAUCGGGAGGAACACCAGUGGCGAAGGCGGCCACCUGGACGGUGACUGACGCUGAGAAGCGAAAGCGUGGGGAGCAAACAGG